GACGAACGCUGGCGGCGUGCUUAACACAUGCAAGUCGAACGGAAAGGCCCGCUUGCGGGUACUCGAGUGACGAACGGGUGAGUAACACGUGGGUAACCUGCCCUCAGCUUUGGGAUAACUCCCGGAAACGGGUGCUAAUACCGAAUAUUGACCUCGUACCGCAUGGCGUGGGGUUGAAAGUUUUUCGGCUGACGAUGGGCCCGCGGCCUAUCACCUAGUUGGAGGGGUGAUGGCCUACCAAGGCGACGACGGGUAGCCAGCCUGAGACGACGACCGGCCACGCUGGAACUGACACACAGUCCAGACUCCUACGGAAGGCAGCAGUGGGGAAUAUUGCGCAAUGGGCGAAAGCCUGACGCAGCGACGCCGAGUGAGGGAUGACGGCCUUCGAGUUGUAAACCUCUUUCGACAGGUACUAAUUUGACGGAACCUGUGAGAGAAGCACCGGCUAACUACGUGCCAGCAUCCGCGGUAAUACGUACGGUGCGAGCGUUGUCCGGAAUUAUUGGGCGUAAAGAGCUCGUAGGCGGUCCGUCACGUCUAAUGUGAAAACCCGGGGCUCAACUCCGGGCUUGCAUUCAAUACGGGCGGACUAGAGUUUCGGUAGGGGAGACUGGAAUUCCUGGUGUAGCGGUGAAAUGCGCAGAUAUCAGGAGGAACACCGGUGGCGAAGGCGGUUCUCUGGGCCGAUACUGACGCUGAGGAGCGAAAGCGUGGGGAGCGAACAGGAUUAGAUACCCUGGUAGUCCACGCCGUAAACGGUGGGCGCUAGGUGUGGGGACCUUCCACGGUCUCUGUGCCGCAGCUAACGCAUUAAGCGCCCCGCCUGGGGAGUACGGCCGCAAGGCUAAAACUCAAAGGAAUUGACGGGGGCCCGCACAAGCGGCGGAGCAUGCUGAUUAAUUCGAUGCAACGCGAAGAACCUUACCAAGGCUUGACAUACACCGGAAACUUCCAGAAAUGGUUGCCCCGCAAGGUCGGUGUACAGCUGGUGCAUGGUUGUCGUCAGCUCGUGUCGUGAGAUGUUGGGUUAAGUCCCGCAACGAGCGCAACCCUCGUCCUAUGUUGCCAGCGCGUUAUGGCGGGGACUCAUAGGAGACUGCCGGGGUCAACUCGGAGGAAGGUGGGGAUGAGGUCAAAUCAUCAUGCCCCUUAUGUCUUGGGCUUCAAGCAUGCUACAAUGGCCGGUACAAAGGGCUGCGAUACCGCGAGGUGGAGCGAAUCCCAAAAAGCCGGUCUCAGUUCGGAUUGGGGUCUGCAACUCGACCCCAUGAAGUCGGAGUCGCUAGUAAUCGCAGAUCAGCAACGCUGCGGUGAAUACGUUCCCGGGCCU
rnacentral:rRNA from 1 species